CAGGUCGUGACUCGUGACUCGUAUAUAGGUAUAAGUAUACGUGCGCGAGUUCGACGGUGCCGACGGUGGACAAUGGACAUACUUAUAUGUAUAGGUAUAGAUUCAAAUAUACGGAAAUGUGGCACCGCCGCCGCCGUACUAACUGCCAUUUACAUUUUGUUGUUCUUAUAAAUAAUAUGGAGAGAACGCUUAUCUUCAAAACGAAUAUUUAUUCCGACCUGUAAAUAAUCAAAUUCUGUCCAGGUGGACAGACAUGGAUUCCAACUCGUAAUAACUAUACUACUUAUAAUUUUUUAAUGAAAAUUGUCAACAAAAAUGUAAGUUUAUGGUUUGAACAUCUUUUAUAUAUAUUUUUUUUUAUACAAAUACAUUCUCACUUUGCAAAUAUAUCUCACUAUUAACAUGCUGUCAUCUCACACUAACAUUAGACUUGUGAUGGAAGAACAAAUCAAAUAAUAAAUAAAUUGAUCAUACGAUCAACCAGUUUCUGCACACAAUCUCUAAGCUCCAACUUAUUGGAGGUUGAUUCAAGCAUUGUAUGUGCAAACAUACAGGGCACAGUCGCGUUUAAGUCACAAGAUAAUGUUCAAUUCAUUAUAGUAAUACAAGUAUAUGAAUUGCCGUUUUCAUUUAUCACACAUUUCGCAUAAAACUCAACUGUGAUUUUAUAAAAAACAUACUGUAACAAAAGCGCAAGAAUGCAAAAUCAUCUCUGAUGUAUUAAUAAGAAGAAUAUGCAACUUUAAACGCUGCCAAAAUUCAAGUUUGUGAUUUUUGCUAUGUAGAACAUAGCAAAGAAAAGUUUUUAGUCAAUUUUACACGUCUUCUUCGCUUUAAAGUUCGUCGUGUUCUUCACUCUGCUCUCUGUCAUCAUCGGCAUUAAUUUCAGAUUCUUUUUCAGUCUCAUUAACAUCUUCUGGUAAAUCUUCUUCUUCUUCUGGAACCUCAUCUAAUGGAAUCCCCAACGUUUUUCGCAUAAGCUGUUCAACAUUUUCAGCAAAGCUUGCAGUUUCUUUCAGCAUGUAGCCUGAUCUUAGAGUUGCUGUUUGGAACAUCAUUUGAGCCAUAUCCUGAGUUAUUUUGUCUUCUGCAUCUUGCUCAACCCUUCGCAGUAGUUCUCUAAUCAGAG